GGUUCUGGAACUUGCAGCGGCUGGAAUUGUAUUUCGUCGACUCCCCUAGGGUUUCUGGAAUAUUUGGGGAUUUAUAGGGCGAAGAGGCGGUGCAGGAGGUCACUGAGGGGGCACAACCCCCCUAGGCGCGCCUGGGCCUCCUGGAGCGCCCUGGUGGGUUGUGCCCACCUCGGGCCUCCCCUCUGGUACUUCUUUGGCCCACUGGGUGUCUUCUGGUCCAAAAAAAUUCUUCAAAAAGUUUCGCUCCGUUUGGUACUGAUAUUCUGCGAAGUACAAAACAAGCAAAAAACAACAACUAGUACUGGGCACUAUGUCAAGGUUAGUUCCAAAAAAUGAUAUAAAGUUGAUAUAAAAUGAUUGUAAAACAUCUAAGAAUGAUAAUAUAACAGCAUGGAACAAUCAAAAAUUAUAGAUACGUUGGAUACGUAUCAAACCCAAGGAAAAUAAAAUUAGCCAGGUCAUGCAACAUUGCGAGAUAUAGGAAACAUAGAAAGAAAUCCAGUCCUUCGUAGAUGCUGGCCUUGUUGGAGAUACUUUGGCCAGCGUCCCCUGCCACCUCCUUGCUUUGACACAACAAGGGAAUAAGUGCCUCCCAUGGAGGGUGCAGAUGAAGGCAUACAGGGCUAAUGACAAGGUCGAUGGGUGGUCGGCGAUCCACCCAUGCCUCACUAGAGGCACAUCAUAGAGUGUUUUUAGAUCCACAACCUAGGUGGUGGAGGUCUUCCUGCGCAAUAAGAUCAUUGAUGCCCCCCCCAGAGCGCCACAUCAAAGGAAAUUGAAGACAAAUUCACCCCCAAUUCUUUUAUUGCCCCCACGAUGGCUCGGGAAGAGGGGAUGGAGAUCUUCGUCGGCAGAUUUGGCACACUGCCAAGCUUACUGAGGGAGGAAUCAUAGAAUCUACCAACCAACUUCUAGCUUCCUCCAUAGGGGAAGAGCACAACAACCAUCAAGCACUAUAUGCAUGGCAAUGAAGAACCACGGACAAGCACAAAGCGGCAUGCCCUUAAGGCAAGUAUUAUCAUAUAUCUACUAUGUACAUAGGCUCCUCGAGCUCCCAUUCCCCUUCCACCCUGAUUGACGACAAUGACAGACGAAAAGGGGAGAUGGGUCGGGAGAGCGUUCGUGCCUCUCAACGAGAAAGGGAAUUAGGGAGAGAUAAAGAGGAUAAAAGAAAUGAGAUCUUACGGAACCAUGAUUAUGUGAUUAACUAAUGGUGUUAAGUUUUAUCUUAUUUUAAAAUUAUUCAACACCAUGCCUAUGAAUUUGGGAUGUCUGCUAUAAUCAUGUAAUGCCUCAUUUCAUGUUUCUUUCACGGUUAUCUUUGAAGUCUCUGGACCUGAGAAAAAUUACGAAACUCGUUGAGGGAGAGCCCAUGGUCGGGGUCAUGGCUUUGGUGCUCAAGAUAAUGCCCAACCUGUUGGAGUUGUGUGGUCAGCUUGUUUCACCAAUAUCAAUUGUGUGGUGGAAGGUGGUCUCACUUGGGGUCUCAACUAUAAUUAUGACGCCCAUAGUGCUCCCCCUCUUGAUGCCCCUGCAAGGCGUCCGCCAAUGAGGAAAGUGGUAGUUUUGACUUUACUAACAUUCAUUCGCCCAAGUCCAUUGUGUAGGUGGUUUAUGUGGUUGAUGCAAAUGGUAUGUUGGUGCUUGCUAUUGGAAGCCAUAUCUUUAAAAAAAUUGUCAUUUCCUUGGCAGGUUGCCUGCUGCUAACCCUUAACUAGGCAAGAUAAUUGACUGCAUCGUGAAGGAGAAAACAAUAAGCGAGAAGGGUGGCUCUAACCCCGAUCCGGUAUUUCAACAUCCAAAAUGAGAAACCAAAUAGGAGCAAAAGCAAAAAGGAUGGCGCUAGCUCUCGAUUAGGCAUCCAAAAAAUAGAAAACAAUUAGGAGCAAAAAUAUAUGGGUGACGCUAACGGGGAGGUGUCUUUUGUUACAUAAUGCAUGGUUCCCAUUUUUGGGGUUGUCAACAUGGAUUUGGUGGUGUCUAUUAGUUUUUCGAUGUGUUAUCCUCAAGCUGUAGCCAGCCGAUUGAGGUUCCUUUGUGGUGUAGUGACCCACGUGUCGAUGGUUUACAGAAGUAGCGGCUUGCAUGCUUUUGUUGACUGUUGUAGUGGUCGUUGGACUUUGGUGUUUGGCACUAGUCUGCAUGCAUUGUACGGUUGUUGCUUGUUGGUAUUUUAUGGUCAAGUUUGUAAUGGAUUUCGCUCAAUUUUCACUAAUUAUUCAGGCAAGUAUUUUCUUGCUUAACUAAUGGGUGAGUCAAAUAAUUUGUGUGUAUUUCAAAAUUAGAAUUAACGCAACAGUUGAAGGAACCUAAGGAAAAUAAAUUUACCCAAGUCCUUGAACUUUUCGAUAAGCACCCGUUAUAGGAAACAUAUAAAGCAAACCAGUCCUUGAGUAGAUGUUAACCUCGUUGGAGACACUUUGGCCAACGCCCCUUACCGUUGCCUUGCUUAGAGACAACAAGGGAACAAGGGCCUCCCAUUGGAGGUUGCAGAUGAAGGCACAUGCAAUAAGAGAAGUCGACGAGCGGUCGACGAUCCAUCCAUGCCUUCCAAGAGGCAUAUUGGAGAGUUUUUUGUCCUUAGAUCCACGGCAGAGGUCUUCCCGUGCAAUAAGAAAAGCAAGAGAUCAUCGAUACCAGCCUUCCCCUCCGAGCGCCAGACCAGGGAAAGCUGAUGACAGAUUCACACCCAACUUUUUACUAACCCCGCGACUGCUCAAGGUGAGGGAAUGGACAUCUACGCUGGUCCGAUUUGGCCCAUUGUCAGGCUUAUCGAGGGAGCACUCAUUAGGUCUACCAUCAACUGCUAGCUUCCUCCAUAGAAAACAAUUAGGGGAAAAGCAUGACAACCAUCAUACACCAUCUGCAUGGUACAUUGGAGAACUUCAAACAAGCACAAAGCCACAUGUCCUUAAGUUGACUACUACUACCCCAGUUUACUAUGUAAAGAGUCUACUCGAGCUCCCCUCCCUUUCCCACUCAUGUUGGCGACAACGACUGAGGAGAAGGGGAGAGGAGUCGGGGUAGAACGUUGGGGACUCUCGACGAGAAAAGGGACAAGGGAGAGAUAAAAGAGAAGAACGAAAAUGAGAGCUUACAUAACCAUGGUUAUGUGAUGAGCUAAUGGUGUUAAGUGUUAUCAGAUUUCAAAGCUAUUCAACACUAUGCCCGUGAAUUUGGGAUGCCAGCUACGAACAUGUAAUGCCUCACUUGAUGUCAUUCUUUAGUGGUUAGCUUUGAAGUCUUUGGACCUCGGCAAAAUUACACAAAACUACAGGACUCCUUGAGGGGUUUUCUUGAAAGUUUGGAUGAGCUCUUCCUACCGUUGGAUCCAUGAUCCAACGACCCACGGGCUCCAGGGCUGGAAGCACAUGAUCAUCCUCUUCCCCCUACAACCACAAUAUUACUCCACUACCUAGUUCACAAAAUCAGCCGGCUAAGAUAACACAAAGAUACGACAAAGUGAAUUUCAAAAAAGAAAAAGAUACGAUAAAGUAAAGCCGACAUGCGACGCUGUGAUCUGAUUAGUACAGCAUUAAUUAUACCCAGUGGGAUCAUUCCUUCGAUGGAAACAGGUAUUCAUAGCAGCAGGAUACCAAAUGGAUGUUUUCCCGUUUUUCCCCCUCCGGGAUAUUUUUCCGCCGAUCAAACAGCGCAAAGCUCCAGCAGUAGCGAGCCAUUUUGGACGCAUCGAAACGAAUCCAGCCAGGCGGCAGGCAGGCGGGGUCCGCGCGCCACGCUGCGUGACGCGGACCCGCCGACGGCGUGGCCCACCGGGCAGCCCCUCCGCCCACUCCACCUCCCCACCCCCCCUCCCGCCUGGCUCCUCCUCCACCUCGCUGGCCGCGCCCCUCCCCCCCUGGGUAUAUAAUCCUCCCCGCGACACACGCCCACGCACCGCCCCCACACACGCGCCACCGCAGACGCAACCCGCGGCACGGCCCAGAGCCAACCUACCGACCCAACGAACGAGGCACGGCGCGAGCCCCCACCGCACCGCACCCUUCCGCAGCCUCGCCUCGCGCCCUUCCGCCGCCGCCGUGCCCUCCGUUCCGUCCGCGGCUCCGGCCGGCAGGCAAGCCGUCGUGGGUCCCACGGGGAUCGUGCGCGUGAGGGAGGCGAGGCCGAGGGGCAGGGGCACGGGGGCGCGGCCGGC
rnacentral:lncRNA from 1 species